GCCUACCCCUGGUGUAGUGGUUUGAGCACUGGACUGUGACUCUAGAGAUCAGGGUUCAAAUCCCUGUUCAGCCA
rnacentral:tRNA from 1 species